rnacentral:rRNA from 1 species
GACGAACGCUGGCGGCGUGCUUAACACAUGCAAGUCGAACGGAAAGGCCCGGCUUUUGUGGGUUGCUCGAGUGGCGAACGGGGGAGUAAAACGUGAGUAACCCCCACUUAACUUUGGGAUAACUUCAGGAAACUGGGGCUAAUACCGGAUAGAAGCUCCUGCUGCAUGUGGGGGGUUGGAAAGUUUCGGCGGUUGGGGCUGGACUCGCGGCUUAUCAGCUUGUUGGUGGGGUAGGGGCUUACCAAGGUUUUGACGGGUAGCCGGCCUGAGAGGGUGGCCGGCCACAUUGGGACUGAGAUACGGCCCAGAAUCCUACGGGAGGCAGCAGGGGGGAAUAUUGCACAAUGGGCGGAAGCCUGAUGCAGCAACGCCGCGUGCGGGAUGACGGCCUUCGGGUUGUAAACCGCUUUCGCCUGUGACGAAGCGUGAGUGACGGUAAUGGGUAAAGAAGCACCGGCUAACUACGUG